GAUGAACGCUAGCGGCAGGCUUAACACAUGCAAGUCGAGGGGCAGCAUAAACAUUGCUUGCAAUGUUUGAUGGCGACCGGCGCACGGGUGCGUAACACGUAUCCAAUCUGCCCGUUACUCGGGGAUAGCCUUCUGAAAGGAAGAUUAAUACCCGAUGGCAUGUAUUUCCGGCAUCGGAGAUACAUUAAAGAUUUAUCGGUAACGGAUGAGGAUGCGUACGAUUAGCUGGUUGGCGGGGUAACGGCCCACCAAGGCGACGAUCGUUAGGGGUUCUGAGAGGAAGGUCCCCCACACUGGUACUGAGACACGGACCAGACUCCUACGGGAGGCAGCAGUGAGGAAUAUUGGUCAAUGGGGCGGAAGCCUGAACCAGCCAAGUAGCGUGAAGGAUUACUGCCCUACGGGUUUUAAACUUCUUUUAUGCGAGAGUAAUGUGCGCUACGUGUAGCGUAUUGCAAGUAUCGCAUGAAUAAGCAUCGGCUAACUCCGUG
rnacentral:rRNA from 1 species